CCUUCCCUCGGGUCGGGUCACCGCGCGGGUCAAAAGGCCACUAAACGACGCCGUUUUUAUAUCACGCAUAAAAAACAAGGCACUAAGCCACUCAGCAGACCCGCAAACCCUAAGCUAGAAACCCCCUCUGCGCGCCGCUCGACGGACUAACGUCUGGAGGUCCCAAUUCCUCACCCGUUUCCGAUCGCGACGGAAGGAGCGAAAGAUCGACCACCAGGUACGGGUACGGAGCUGUGGACGUGGCGGAUACGGAGGCUAGCACGUGCGACGGGAGGACCGAAGGCGAUGUGUUGCGAGGCUGCUGCGGUGCUGGGAGGGGGCUGUUGCUAAAGGCUAGGGUUUCUGAUUCUUUUUGGGUGUUGGGCUGUAUGAUUGUUGGGCUGGGUGUAGUGGGCUAGGCUAGUGUUUGGGCCACUUGGAUUUAAGCCUGCUAUUGUAACAAAACUGGACAUUUUAUUUAUUUUAUUUUAUAUUUUGGUUUUAAUACUAGGGCUCGGGUUUUAAUUCUUAUUGGGCCAUUCGGGCCAUUGUAAUUUUGGGUUUGUUUUUCUGGUAUGGGCCCGGGCAAAAAUGGGCUCUUACAAAUUUGACCUCGAAAAUUUUAAUGAACGGGGAUUACUAUAUUUGUACCUAGAUUGUAACAGGGUGAUAAACCAAAAUCUGUAACCUUGAGUGGUGAAAUCUCUUCUUUGUUCAACAAGAAAAUUUUCAA